UUUUUAGGGUCGCACCAGAGGCACAUGGAACUUUCCAGGCAAGGGGCUGAAUCAGAGCUGCAGCUGCAGGACUACACCACAGCCACAGGCACACCAGAUCCGAGCCCUGCCUGCAACCUACACCACAGCCACAGCAGUGCCAGAUCCGAGCCCUUAACCCACUGAGCGAGGCCAGGGAUCAAACUGCGUCCUCAUGGACUAGUCGGAUUAGUUUCCGCUGUGCCACAAUGGGAACUCCCCAAUUUUUCUUAUUUUUGGUCUUUUCAGGGCUUUUUUGUUCCAUGUGGAAGUUCCAGGCUAGGGGUCGAAGUGGAGCUGCAGCUGCCGGCCUACACCACAGCCACAGCAACACCAGAUCCGAGCCGCAUCUGUGACCUACACCACAGCUCACAGCAAUGCCGGAUCCCUGACCCACCGAGGGAGGCCAGGGAUCGAGCCUGCAGCCUCAGGAUACAAGUCAGAUUCAUUUCCGCUGUGCCACAACAGAACUCCCCCAAGCAUUUUUUUUUAACUCUUUAUUUUGAAAUAAUUCCAGAUUUCCAAAAGGUUAGAGAGACAGGCCGGCGUGUGGGCACCCUUCCCCAGAGGACCGCCUCUGAGCGCCACCUGGCCUGCGGGUCCUCAGGCCUCCCAGGACCCUGGCCCCGGCAGGCGCCUCUGAGGCGCACCCGUCUUCCCGUCACAGUUUGUCCCUCGGGCCCGGCUGGCCUGCGUGUUCUCACUACACUGAGGUGAUGCCGUCCUGCCAAGAAAACCGCAGAAGUGACCCUGCACCUUCUCGGGGCGUCAGGUGGCGGGGGUAGGGCCGUGGGGACCACGCCGACCCCUCACUGCUGAGCAGGUGCCUGCAGGGCGGCCUCCAGACCAGCGAAGCUGCUGCACAGCACAUGCCCCCAUCCCAGGCCACCGACACUCCCGGGCUUGCAGGUGGCGUCUCCUGCCCCCAGGCUGGCGGGAACCCAGAGGGGCUGCCCUUCCCGCACCGAGGCUCUUAGUUACUCGCUUCCAUCAGCACGGACUCCUGGACAGGAGUUUAUUUUGUGGGCUAUACCCCGUUUCCGCCACUUAUUCUGUGCCAAUGGGAGCUCCGAGACCUGUUCUUCAAGAAGCCCCGUCACGUUUCAGCCAUUCCUUCCCCCACCCCUUUUUUUUUUGGUGGGGGGGUCUUUUGUCUUUUAGGGCGGCACCUGUGGCACAUGGAGGAGUUCCCGCUGUGGCGCAGCGGGAUGGGCAGCAUCUGCACCGCCGGGAUGCAGGUCUGACCCCCCACUCAGCACAGUGGUUAAAGGACCCAGUGUUGCCACAGCCGAGACUCGGCGCUGAUCCCCGGCUGGGGAUCUACAUACACCUCGGGGCGGCCAAAACAGUAAAAAAACACCGACCCCGGGGGGAACGCGGGUGUGGAGGAGCAAAGCCCCAGAUCCUGACACUGAACCUGGCUGACGCU
rnacentral:lncRNA from 1 species